rnacentral:lncRNA from 10 species
UCUGGCCUUGCAGCCUGUUUCUUCAUCUGAAAAAAAGAAGGAAAAAUAAUACCAAACUCAGAAAGACUUCAUGAGGAUCGAGUCUGUUUGAAUUGCUUUUCAUUGCACCUUCUAAAUAUGGGGAACUGCGACAUGAAGAAGUUAACUUACCUAAGAUCAGAGAAUGAGUCAAGGACAGAACAGGACCAUGUCAUCAAAUUUAGAGAAACUUGAACUAUACACUACUUUGGAGAAAGCUGACCUAAG